GCCGUGUUGGCUCAUAUGGUACAGCACCGGUCUUGAAAACCGGCAUUCCGAAAGGAUAUCCGGGUUCAAAUCCCGGGCACGGCG
rnacentral:tRNA from 1 species